CGUGCGCGGGAACACCGCAGAACGUAAAACUUUAAUAAUUAAAAAAAUAAGUUUAAGCAUCAUUUCGAAUCAAUUUUAAACACAUGUAUUACAAUGGCACUUUAUAUAUUGAUAAGUAUUUCUUUUACAAUUACGUGGCCAGUUAUACAUCCAGGUCACGCGGGUGACGUAUAUAAGGGCCUGCACGCCUACAAUUCGUCCAUUUGCACGCCCUCAUUACUUUGGCAAAAUGCUUUUGUGGUUGAAGUCUUCAUUUGAAGUCGAACAGGUUGAUUCAACUUACAUGGAUGGCCAUUUGACAGAAAGGCAAUGGCAAAAGUCACCUCUUGCCUACAAACAAUACUUCCUCCUCCUUGAAGUGUGACAAAUGGAUCCAUGAUUCUGGAUAAAGCCACAUUGAUAUGGAUGUCUGUUGGUUAUUUGAUCAAGUGAUCAUCUCACAAAUUAAAAUUUGCCCUUUGCAGUUGGGGAAGUUACUGCAUUUAUGUACAUUUAAGUUCUUGAAUAGUGCUCAACCUUGGAGAAGAUGAGCAUGCUUUCUAAAAGGGUUCAUAAUGGAAAAGCAUUCAGGUUGAUCAGCUGAGAGAGUAUUGUACUCUAGCCAUUUUCCUAUUAGGAGCCAAAUGGAGAAAUGAAUUAGUAGAAGGUGGACAAAUACUUCAAAAUGAUCACUUCAGCCUUCUAGAAAGCACCAGGGUUGGAUACUGGAAUAUCAAUCCGCUUUACAGCAUUUCAAGCUUGUAGAUUUAUUUCGGAGUUGACACCGUAUGAGUUGAUUUCAUUUUGGAGUUGAUGCAGAGAAAUGGGUUGGAUACUGGAAUAUCUAUCUGCUUUACAGCAUUUCAAGGGUUGUAGAUUUAUUUGGGAGUUGAUGCAGUAUGAGUUGCUGAUGCAGUAUGAUCUGUUUGGGAUUUUGAAGCACUUUGACCUUCAAGGUUUUUUAUUGCUGGAGUCUAGAGUAAAAUCUGUUUAAUCAUCCAGUUUGUACAUUGUGUCUUUCUGUAGUACAAUACAUUAAAGAAUCUAAAUCGUG